rnacentral:rRNA from 2 species
GCGAUGAAGGGCGUGCUAAUCUGCGAUAAGCGCCGGUAAGGUGAUAUGAACCGUUAUAACCGGCGAUACCCGAAUGGGGAAACCCAGUGUGACUCGUCACACUAUCAUUAACUGAAUCCAUAGGUUAAUGAGGCGAACCGGGGGAACUGAAACAUCUAAGUACCCCGAGGAAAAGAAAUCAACCGAGAUUCCCCCAGUAGCGGCGAGCGAACGGGGAGGAGCCCAGAGCCUGAAUCAGCAUGUGUGUUAGUGGAAGCGUCUGGAAAGGCGCGCGAUACAGGGUGACAGCCCCGUACACAAAAGCGCAUGUGCUGUGAGCUCGAUGAGUAGGGCGGGACACGUGGUAUCCUGUCUGAAUAUGGGGGGACCAUCCUCCAAGGCUAAAUACUCCUGACUGACCGAUAGUGAACCAGUACCGUGAGGGAAAGGCGAAAAGAACCCCGGCGAGGGGAGUGAAAAAGAACCUGAAACCGUGUACGUACAAGCAGUGGGAGCACCCUUUGGGUGUGACUGCGUACCUUUUGUAUAAUGGGUCAGCGACUUAUAUUCUGUAGCAAGGUUAACCGAAUAGGGGAGC